AGAGCAAAAUAAACAAGAGGCAGGGGAUUUGGGAACUUCUUUCACAAAGGGCUGAAAGAACAAACACAUGGAGGAAAAACAUGAAACUUCCAAGAGUACAGUCCUAUGAGCAAAAACUCAGACAUCUUUGAGCGAUAGAAGAGACAACUGGGCCGGGGGCCAGUUCAGUGCGGACCUACAUUUCAACCACCAUGAUGAAGGAGAGUUGUGUGUGGUGCCCUGUGGAUGGUGCAGGUGAGACGUCCAAAGACAGCAUCGCUCACACUGCUCAGGACGGAUGAGGUACUGAAGGAGGCCAGAUUGGAGGAGCCAGCCUGGGCAGGGCUGUGGCUGUUUCAGGGCAAGGUAAGGGGUCCUUCUGUGAACUCAGAGAAGUUUCCUGUUUUGUGUCCUUUCCCAAAGCCCUGGUAUAGUGCCGGCCAUUAGGAACAUUAUAAAGUGCACCCAGUUUUUCUUGGUGGAAGUUCCCCUUUUUGUGUCCUUUACCCUUUUAAAAAUAUGUCUUCCCUUGUUUCUCCUUAUCCUUGAUCACGUCCCUUUUUUCAGGGAGAGAAAUUGUCAAAAAAUUUAUACUACUAAGAGUAAUUUAAACCACCCUAGAAAGGCUUCUAUUUAAAAGAAAGAGCCAUGAGGUGAUGGAUAUGUUAAUUAGCUUGAUUUAAUGACUCCACAUUGUAUUAAUAAAUCAUAACACUACUUUGUGCCCAUAAAUAGAUACAAUUACAAAUUGUCAAUUUGCAAUAAAAUAAAAAUAAAUAAAAAUGAAAAAAGGA
rnacentral:lncRNA from 1 species